UACAGAGGGUGCAAGCGUUGUUCGGAUUUACUGGGCGUAAAGCGCACGUAGACGGUAUGAAAGGUCGGACGUGAAAGCCCCAGGCUCAACCUGGGAACUGCGUUCGAAACCAUCAUGCUAGAGUAUGGGAGAGGGAGGCGGAAUUCCUGGUGUAGAGGUGAAAUUCGUAGAUAUCAGGAGGAACACCUGCGGCGAAGGCGGCUUCCUGGCCCAUAACUGACGUUCAGGUGCGAAAGCACGGGGAGCAAACAGGAUUAGAUACCCUGGUAGUCCGUGCUGUAAACGAUGAGUGCUGGAUGUCGGGGGUAUUCACUCCCUCGGUAUCGAAGCUAACGCGCUAAGCACUCCGCCUGGGGAGUACGGCCGCAAGGUUG
rnacentral:rRNA from 1 species